rnacentral:rRNA from 1 species
UACGGAGGGAGCUAGCGUUGUUCGGAAUUACUGGGCGUAAAGCGCACGUAGGCGGCUUUGUAAGUUAGAGGUGAAAUCUCGGGGCUUAACUCCGAAACUGCAUUCGAUACUGCCGUGCUUGAGGACUGGAGAGGAGACUGGAAUUUACGGUGUAGCGGUGAAAUGCGUAGAUAUCGUAAGGAAGACCAGUGGCGAAGGCGGGUCUCUGGACAGUUCCUGGCGCUGAGGCACGAAGGCCAGGGGAGCAAACGGG